rnacentral:rRNA from 1 species
ACGAACGCUGGCGGCGUGCCUAAUACAUGCACGUCGAGCGGACGAAUCGAAAGCUUGCUUUUGAUUCGUUAGCGGCGGACGGGUGAGUAACACGUGGGCAACCUGCCCUGUAGACGGGGAUAACACCGAGAAAUCGGUGCUAAUACCGGAUAACACGAAAUGUCGCAUGACGUUUCGUUGAAAGACGGCGCAAGCUGUCGCUACAGGAUGGGCCCGCGGCGCAUUAGCUAGUUGGUGAGGUAACGGCUCACCAAGGCGACGAUGCGUAGCCGACCUGAGAGGGUGAUCGGCCACACUGGGACUGAGACACGGCCCAGACUCCUACGGGAGGCAGCAGUAAGGAAUCUUCCGCAAUGGACGAAAGUCUGACGGAGCAACGCCGCGUGAGCGAAGAAGGCCUUCGGGUCGUAAAGCUCUGUUGUUAGGGAAGAACAAGUAACGCAGUAACUGGCGUUACCGUGACGGUACCUAACGAGAAAGCCACGGCUAACUACGUG